AUUGGUCUGCAGCAGUGUCGACACUGGUGUCCAUCUAGACAUUGGCCUGUAGCAGUGUCUGGUGUCUAUCUAGACAUUGGUCUGUAGCAGUGUCGACACUGGUGUCCAUCUAGACAUUGGCCUGUAGCAGUGUCUGGUGUCCAUCUAGACAUUGACAUUGGUCUGUAGUUUUGGAAGGUACAGGGUUGCUAGGUAUCAUUCCCAAAUCAUCUGUGCCUGUACAAGUGUUGGGUGAAUUUGAGACACUUGUCUGGUACAGCAUGUCCUUUUCUUCUCACAGUGACCUGGCUGCUGCUGAUAUUCUUGACACUUGUAAUAGACACAGACACUGUCUAAUAGUGUCAUGGUUUUUGGUGUAUGACAAGGUGAUCCGGAUGUUACAGACAUUGAUAAUGACUGUUUGGUACAUGUUGCUUGGUGAAUGUUCAGACACUUCUGUCAAAGACACUGUUGUAAAAGUUGAUCCUUGAUGACCUUCCAGAGACUUGUAUCCUGACACUGUAGGUGUCUGUUGUCCCCAUCGUCACCUGGUGGCUUGCCCAUGUCUUCCUCCACCGCUGCAGUAUGAUGCAAGCCAGUGUGUCUGUGUGCAUGAGGGACCUACACUAAAUCACUGGUAGAUCCUGGUGUGUACGACUGGUACCUUGCACACACCAAGAUCAGUGUUUGUAAAGAAUGGUAUCCUGAAAGCAGAACUUGAAUGUGAAAUGUGAUGUAUGAAUAGGAUAGAUCAUGCUUUCUGUACAUCUAGACCGUAAUAUAUUACCCAUGUUCAACAGGCUAGACGAGGACUCAGGGCAUCCCUUUCUGUAAACCGGCUCAUAGUGCUCUUCUUCAUUCCAUGCGAAACUUUCCUUGUAGUGAUGGACAUAGCUUCUUAUCAGAUUUAUGUGCCCAUUUGCUCCAGCUUCUAGAGGCAUGUAGCUUGACAGUGUCGACUGUCUCGUCACUUGUUUGGCCGAGUCAAGAUUAGAUCUGUUGCUGCCUCUGUCCAGACAUUCUUCUUAGGUUUUCAGAUAACCAAGUCAAUUCAGACACAUUUACUAACUUAACAUAUGCAUAUUUUGUGCCUCUCCAGACUGGAGCAACAUUCAGAUGACUGUUUUUUUUGUACCAUGUAUAUAACUGGCUUCCUACUCAAGAAGCUUGUGUUGUCUUUGUAACCAAACUCAGUUUUAAGUUCAUGAUUUGUUUUAAUAACCAAUUUGUUUCAGAGUAAGGUAUGAAACAUAAUGCUUGCUUAUGAUGGUAUUUUUGUGAAACAGCAGUGUUUAAUAUUUUGAAAACUGAUCGAUGUCAUCCCAGUAUUUCAGGAUUUUGUGUGAUGGCUGAGUGUCAAAGUUCAGUGUCCAGCUGCAAGAAAUGUUUUGAUUUGAAGCUGGCCACCAUGGGUAUUACUAAUCUGUACAUUUUAAUGAAAGUGAUUUGUAAAUGUGUGAUUCUGUGAGUGGUAAGUGUGUCGAUUGGUUGGUCUUUAGAUAUUGUUAUCUGUUACUCUUUUAGCAUAUAUAUGUGUAUGGUGUUAGCAGCCGACUGCAUGCGUCUGUUAGGGGUUUAGAUAUAGUGAUACCACAUCGUACUGCAAUACUUGGCUGAUGGUACAAUUCCUUGUCUUGUCAUGUGAUACCAGAUGAUACCAGUAAAAUUAUUUGGAAAUGAGAUAAAAGUGUCUUGAUAUCAAAUGUUGCACCAUGAAUGGAUUAAAGUAAUCAAUGUGGCAAGGAUUGCUACAGCAGUUUUUAGAGAAUGGUGUGAUGACUAAAGACGCAAGGGUUCUAUUUAUUGACCAACAUGAGCAACUUUCAUGAGAAUUUCUAAGUACACUAUGCAUCUGCAACUAAAAA